rnacentral:rRNA from 1 species
GGGGGGGGGGGGGGGGGGGGGUGGGACGGGCAGGUCGAGCGAAGAGGUGAGGGGCUUGCCCCUUUGACGUUGGCGGCGGGCGGGUGAGUAACACGGGGGUAACCUACCUAUAAGGCUGGAAUCACUCCGGGAAACCGGGGCUAAUGCCGGAUACCAUUUAGAACCGCAUGGUUCUAAACUGUAAGAUGGUUUUGCUAUCACUUCUAGAUGGACCCGAGCCGUAUUAUCUAGUUGGUAAGGUAACGGCGUACCAAGGCAACUAUACGUAGCCGACCUGAGAGGGUGAUCGGCCACACUGGAACUGAGACACGGUCCAGACUCCUACGGGAGGCAGCAGUAGGGAAUCUUCCGCAAUGGGCGAAAGCCUGACGGAGCAACGACGCGUGAGUGAUGAAGGUCUUCGGAUCGUAAAACUCUGUUAUUAGGGAAGAACAAAUGUGUAAGUAACUGUGCACGUCCUGACGGUACCUAAUCAGAAAGCCACGGCUAACUACGUG